GAAAGUGAAACCCGUCACACCCCCCCGCCCCGGGCUCCGGGAGGAAGAUUUGUCAACGCAAAUCUUUGGUGUUCCCCUUGUCCUUAGCACGCCUAAGCCACCCUUGACCUACCCUAAACCCAGGACAGGUUUACCUCGAGCAAAACCCUACUCUGUGAUGUGGCAGAGACACACCCUGCAAGAGACAGCUGAAGAGAUGGAGCUGGGGAAGGCGAGUGGGAAAUGAAGCCCAAAGGGAGAGGGCCCUGGCUGUUCUCACCGGUGGAGAUCUGAGCUGAAGAGCACAUGCUGCAGGUGAAACGUCUCCCAAAACACCCUCCCCAUCCAGAGGUGAGUGAGUGAUGAGACAAAAAGAGGAUUUAGAGACAACGUGACUCCAGCAGGCCAUGAGAACAAUGAGAAGUUCAAAAAUAGCAGUAUUGACUGGUGGAAAAACAACAUACAUAUAAUUUUCAGGUAAUUACUGCGGUAUAAUUAGCUGGGUUGUUUUCAUAUGAGCCGUCUGAAAUGAACUCUGCUUGCUGCUGGAGCUCGGCUUUAUUCGCAGCAUUCCCAUGACUCAAGGGAUGCUGUAGGAAGAGUGAUUGGGUAAAAAAUGAAGAUUUUUUUCAUAGCUGAGCCCAUCUUGGGGCACAGCCUGGCUGCUGCUGCUUUAUUCUCAGUUUAUCCUCCUCUUCUGGCACAAGAACUGGAAGUUUUGAGCAUAAUCCCCUCCUAUAGCUCUACAGGAAUCCCACGCGCGGUCCAUAAUGGGAACUGUAGGACAGGAAAGGGAUUCGAAUUGUAACAGGCCUUUUUCUAGAUCACUCUCUGUGAAAAAUUGAUAUA